AUGGAAGCAGGUUCAUCACCUCUGUUACUGGGAACUCAUGUGGUGCCAUAUUUUUUUGCAGAAUUGGAAGCAGGCAUACAACUAUGCCAAUCUAUUGUUUCAACACAGCAGGUGGUCUAAGGCGAUCUAUACAUACAGCAAAGCCAUAAUACUGGCCUUGCUUCCUCCUGAUUCCGUGGACUCAGAAAACGAGAGCUUGAGCUCCUACUUCUUACGUGUGGAUAGCCUGAGAAUCAAAUUUUUAGGCUCUUCUGUGCCGAUAGAAAAGUUUAUUGCUGAGAAGAGUCAGCGCUAUGGUACUACAACGGGCUGGUUUACAGCACAGCCCCUUCUGGAAUUCAUCUACGCCUGGAGUGGGUUCCGAGUCAUGAGCAAGAAAAUAGAGCUUAUUUC
rnacentral:lncRNA from 1 species